rnacentral:lncRNA from 1 species
AAAUAAAUGUUGAAGUUUUUAUAAAUUACAUCUUUGCCAUUGAUUAAUUUAAAGCAAGGCCAAUAGAAAAAACUCAAAAGAAACCCAAAAUAAGCCCAGCAAGUCCAACUCAGAUUUGACCACCCAAAACAAAAAAAAACAAAAAACAGCAAACUCGAAGUACAUUAUUAAUGGGUGUAUUUUUGCUCACCACCUUAACUCUAGGGUGUACCCUCACC